AUACGGAGGGAGCUAGCGUUGUUCGGAAUUACUGGGCGUAGAGGGCGCGUAGGCGGACCUUCAAGUCGGAAGUGAAAACCGUUGGCUUAACCAGCGGCCUGCUUUCGAUACUGUCGGUCUUGAGUACAGGAGAGGAAAGCGGAAUUCCAGGUGUAGCGGUGAAAUGCGUAGAUAUCUGGAAGAACACCGGAAGCGAAGGCGGCUUUCUGGCCUGCCACUGACGCUAAAGCGCGAAGGCUUGGGUAGCAAACAGGAUUAGAAACCCCGGUAGUCC
rnacentral:rRNA from 1 species